rnacentral:lncRNA from 1 species
GCUCAGAAUCUGUUCCUCUUCGCCGGAGCCCUUCUGAAUGUCUGUUUUCUCUCAAGUUUGACAGUCAGGCUCGGUUUUACUUAAUAAGAAAUAAAAUAUCUUAACUUUCUAGUUUGGACCAUUUUUGGUCACCGCCCUACCGAACUGUAAUCUCUAGCAGAUAGCAGUCGGGUUUUAUUUUUUACUUUCCGGGUGUCAGAAUGAUAUGAAACUUUAAAUCUAGCCUCAUAAAAAUAAUCCUGACAUAUUCCCAGAUUUUCAUAACUUUCUGACACUGUGAAUUUUCUGCUAAAAAUAUCAGCCCCGUUUCUCACAGAAAAUUCUAAAUCUCCUGUUUUCAAUCCGAUUUCAGCACGAGUCAUUCCAGACUUACAUUUUACUUCUCUAAGUCCAAUAAAAAUAGUAUCUUCCACUAUUUUUAUUACACUUAAUUUUAUAUUACAAUCUAGUACAUUACAUUAUUAGUAAUCAAGGAGUAGAUCC